ACCAUUCAGAACUGCCCUCUGCCCCGUGCCAAGCAGAAAAAGUGUGAGGUCUGCGAGUCAUCCUGCUACAGCCGGAGACUCAGCCUGAACCAGUCAGCGUGAAUGUGAGACCCUGCGAACAUGGAGGCCGGUAAAGAGGGGGAAUUUCAUGCGGAGAAGAGCAGCCUGUUCACUUCUAAACACCAUUUUCUGAAAAGGACAAAUGGAAAGAGUGGCUUGAAUCGAAGUACUCCCAGAUGGCCACAGUGGCAAGCUUUGUCCCCAGGCUUCCCACCCACAGCUCUGCACCACCUCUCCUGCACCUGCCACUGUCCAUACCAGGGGCACUGGCAAGCCAGGCACUUCAGUAGUCUUGGAAUGGAAUGCACUCAAGAGUCCUGCAGGGCAUCACUGUUAGUUCCACCCGUGAUACUUGUUCUAGUCAGCCAAACUGUUUUUCUUAAACUAGUUUGAAUUUCAGUUAUGUUACCCAAAGAAUCAUGAUUAAUGUAGCCGUGCCAUGUAUUAUUCAAUAUUUUUCUUUUACUAAACAAUGUAAGGAAAAAAAGCAGGAAAGAGCCAGCAAUGUAAGGAGAAUGUACUGGCUUUGAGAUAUUGUCAAAAUCCUAUUCUAAUUCUUUUAAAUAAACUGUUAUUGUUGUUGUUGUUGUUGA